CUACUACUCCCUCCGUUCCAAAUUACUUGUCGUAGGUAUGGAUGUAUCUAGAUGUAUUUUUGUUCUAGAUACAUCCAUUUCUGCGACGAGUAAUUUGGAAGGGAAGGAGUAUUAG
rfam:Triticum urartu cultivar G1812 contig510723, whole genome shotgun sequence.